AAUGCAUUUGAAUGGGAGCAUAUAGUUGGACCCCCCCUUUUAAUCUGGGUUGGGAACCCCCCUUUUUUGGGGCCUAUCAAUGCAUUUGAAUGGGAGCAUAUAGUUUGACUCCCCCACCCCUCCCCCCUUUACUCUGGGUUGGGAACCCCCCUUUUUAAAAUGGCUGGAUCCUCCCCUGGAGCUUGUCACUUUCACUCAAAAAACAUUAAAGAAACCAUCAAAUUCCUAAGCUUAGGUAGGAGCUUCAAAUUGUUAUAAAAAUUACUUAAUUAUCAUUAUCUUGUGUAUUUUAGCCACCUUCUGCUUAAAAAAAAAUACAUUUAGAUAAUUUAUCACUUAAAGAGGCAUUUGCAAUGAUUUAGAUAAACAAUAACAGCACUUUGUUUUUUUUAUAAAUAUUAAUAAAAGUGGAAUAAUGAAGAAAUGACUUGUAAUUAUUAACAGUCAUUUUUAUAGUUAAAUUGGUAAAAAUGAUCUGAAAAGCAUUGCUGAUUUCAUUUUUUUUUCCAAAACCACAAUUCAACCUCAUUUUGGUCUGUAUGCAUACAACAUUUAAUAAGAACCAUUGUAGUAGAUGGUUGCUCAGCUUGGUCAGAUAAUAAAAAGAACAGAAUUUCAAAAUAAAACGGUUUUGCCAACAAAAAAUAUUAUUUCAGUGGUAAAACUCAAAUGUUUUUGCUUCUAUUUUUUACUCACUUGAGUGCAAUUAUUUGCAAAGUACAAAUCUUAUACAAAAGAAUUAUGUCUGAGACAACAACCCAACCAAAGAGCAAAAAACAGCCGAAUCAACUAAUGACUCUUCAACUCAGCAAGAAAAUCCAGCAUCUGGAGGCAGGCUUCAGCUGACCCCUACACAAAAAUGUUCACUAGGUCAGUGAAAGUGGAUGUCAUACUAAACUCAAACAUAUAUUAAAAUGAACUGAAAUUAAAAAACCUACGAGACUAACAAGGUCCAGAGGCUUCUAACAAGGGACAGGUGCAAAAAUGCAGUGGGUUAAACAUGUUUUGAGAGAUCUCAACCCACACUUAUACCUCUAUGAGCCAAUGUAGAAAAAACAAACACAGCAAUUUGCACCGUAAAACUCAUUAAAAAGAAGUCUGUGUCCAACUUCAGAAAAGGUAACAAAAGAAACAGACUAAUAAUUUGUGUAUUUUUACAACAUUUACAAAGCUAAAUUUUGUGGGAAAAUAAAGUAAAAGUUAAAUUAAAAAAGAAAUAUUUAAUUUUGAAAUUUACUUCAAAAGAAAGAAAAUAAAGUUUAAUUGAUUUUAUUCUUAUAUGUGUAAUGUUGUAUAUGUAUUUAUAUUUCAUUUCAGAGUUCAACAACAGAUUAUUAAUUCUAUAAUUUUGAUUUUUGCAGAUUGCAGCAGUGGGAUGUUACAGUCAUAGACGUUGGAUAGACUCCGUUGUACUAGGCCAGGGAGGGUAGCGCAGAGUUUCCGCAGCACUAUACAAUAGUAGCAAGAUCACUCUACCAUGAGCUUGUUAAAGCGCCCGUUUGAUGAAAGUGACACCAACGUUCUCCACAACACUACAGAUUUGUUUUUGCAGAUGCAGCCGAGAGGAUGUUUCAGUCAUGGACUCAUUUGAUGGAAGUGGCACCAACAUUCUCAAACACUAAUAAUUUACAAAUUUGUUUUUGUUGUAGAUGCAACCUCAGUCAUACACCCUAGAGUUUGGCUAUGUUGUGACAGAAGAAGAGUGGCAUAUAGACUUCUGUAUGUCCAUUUUUAUGGAAGUGACAAAUUACUAAUCUUUCUUCUUAUAUCCAUUUCAGAGUUCUUACAAAGAUGCAUAGAGUUCUUACGAAGAUGUAUAGGUAUGCAGUAUUUAUUAUUUUUGUCUCUGUGUAUUUUUGUCAAUGAGGUAAAACCACAGAACAAAUCAAUCAGAAGUAUUAACUGGUGUAAUUUGAGAACACCCUGGAACACGAGAAAUAUCCUACCUCACAAAAUUUAACA